rnacentral:rRNA from 1 species
GAUGAACGCUGGCGGCGUGCCUAAUACAUGCAAGUCGAGCGAACAGACGAGGAGCUUGCUCCUCUGACGUUAGCGGCGGACGGGUGAGUAACACGUGGAUAACCUACCUAUAAGACUGGGAUAACUUCGGGAAACCGGAGCUAAUACCGGAUAAUAUAUUGAACCGCAUGGUUCAAUAGUGAAAGACGGUUUUGCUGUCACUUAUAGAUGGAUCCGCGCCGCAUUAGCUAGUUGGUAAGGUAACGGCUUACCAAGGCGACGAUGCGUAGCCGACCUGAGAGGGUGAUCGGCCACACUAGAACUGACACACGGUCCAGACUCCUACGGGAGGCAGCAGUAGGGAAUCUUCCGCAAUGGGCGAAAGCCUGACGGAGCAACGCCGCGUGAGUGAUGAAGGUCUUCGGAUCGUAAAACUCUGUUAUUAGGGAAGAACAAAUGUGUAAGUAACUAUGCACGUCUUGACGGUACCUAAUCAGAAAGCCACGGCUAACUACGUG